CACGUAGGGUGCGAGCGUUGUCCGGAAUUAUUGGGCGUAAAGAGCUCGUAGGCGGUGUGUCGCGUCGGCCGUGAAAACCUGCAGCUUAACUGUGGGCUUGCGGUCGAUACGGGCAUCACUGGAGUUCGGCAGGGGAGACUGGAAUUCCUGGUGUAGCGGUGAAAUGCGCAGAUAUCAGGAAGAACACCCGUGGCGAAGGCGGUUCUCCUGGGACGGUACUGACGCUGAGACGCGAAAGCGUGGGGAGCGAACAGG
rnacentral:rRNA from 1 species